UACGGGGGGGGCAAGCGUUGUUCGGAAUUACUGGGCGUAAAGGGCUCGUAGGCGGCCAACUAAGUCAGACGUGAAAUCCCCAGGCUCAACCUGGGAACUGCGUCUGAUACUGGAUGGCUUGAAUCCGGGAGAGGGAUGCGGAAUUCCAGGUGUAGCGGUGAAAUGCGUAGAUAUCUGGAGGAACACCGGUGGCGAAGGCGGCAUCCUGGACCGGUAUUGACGCUGAGGAGCGAAAGCCAGGGGAGCAAACGGGA
rnacentral:rRNA from 1 species